GAUGAACGCUGGCGGCGUGCCUAAUACAUGCAAGUCGAGCGAACGGACGAGAAGCUUGCUUCUCUGAUGUUAGCGGCGGACGGGUGAGUAACACGUGGAUAACCUACCUAUAAGACUGGGAUAACUUCGGGAAACCGGAGCUAAUACCGGAUAAUAUUUUGAACCGCAUGGUUCAAAAGUGAAAGACGGUCUUGCUGUCACUUAUAGAUGGAUCCGCGCUGCAUUAGCUAGUUGGUAAGGUAACGGCUUACCAAGGCAACGAUGCAUAGCCGACCUGAGAGGGUGAUCGGCCACACUGGAACUGAGACACGGUCCAGACUCCUACGGGAGGCAGCAGCAGGGAAUCUUCCGCAAUGGGUGAAAGCCUGACGGAGCAACGCCGCGUGAGUGAUGAAGGUCUUCGGAUCGUAAAACUCUGUUAUUAGGGAAGAACAUAUGUGUAAGUAACUGUGCACAUCUUGACGGUACCUAAUCAGAAAGCCACGGCUAACUACGUG
rnacentral:rRNA from 1 species